rnacentral:rRNA from 1 species
CGGGUGAGUAACACGUGGGAAUCUGCCCAAGAGUGGGGAACAACUCCUCGAAAGAGGAGCUAAUACCGCAUACGGUCGCAAGACUAAAGCCUUUCUUCGGAGAGGCGCUUUUGGAGGAGCCUGCGGCUGAUUAGCUAGUUGGUGGGGUAAAGGCCUACCAAGGCGAUGAUCAGUAGCUGGUCUGAGAGGAUGGACAGCCACACUGGGACUGAGAUACGGCCCAG